rnacentral:rRNA from 1 species
AUUGAACGCUGGCGGCAUGCUUUACACAUGCAAGUCGAACGGUAACAGGCCUUCUUGUUCUGACAAUUGGCUGACGGGUGAGUAAUUCAUCGGUACGUGCCCUGCGGUGGGGUUUAACGUAGCGAUAGCUGUGCUAAUACCGCAUGUGAUCUGAGGAUGAAUGCGGUGGACCAGGCAGCAAUUUUUGGCCUCGCGCCUUUGUAGCGGCCUAUGUCCGAUUUGGUAGUUUGUUGGGUAAAGGCCUACCAAGCCGAAGGUCUGUAGAUGGUCUGGGAGGGCGACCGGCCACACUGGGAGUGAGACAAGGCCCAGACUCCUACAGGAGGCAGCAGUGGGGAAGUGUGAACAAUGGGCGAAAGUGUGAACCAGGAAUGACGCGUGCGGGAAGAAGGCGCUCGGGUUGUAAACCGCUUUUGUACGGAACGAAAAGGCUCUGGCUAAUACCUGGGGCUGAUGAGGGUACCGUAAGAAUAAGCACGGGCUAAUUAGGU